rnacentral:rRNA from 1 species
UGGGGAAUAUUGGACAAUGGGGGCAACCCUGAUCCAGCCAUGCCGCGUGUGUGAAGAAGGCCUUAGGGUUGUAAAGCACUUUAAGUGGGGAGGAAGGCGAUUUGGUUAAUACCCAAGUUGAUUGACGUUACCCACAGAAUAAGCACCGGCUAACUCCGUGCCAGCAGCCGCGGUAAUACGGAGGGUGCAAGCGUUAAUCGGAAUUACUGGGCGUAAAGCGCGCGUAGGCUGCUGCGUAAGCCAGAUGUGAAAUCCCCGGGCUCAACCUGGGAAUUGCAUUUGGAACUGCGUAGCUAGAGUGCAGAAGAGGGGUGUGGAAUUCCAGGUGUAGCGGUGAAAUGCGUAGAGAUCUGGAGGAACAUCAGUGGCGAAGGCGACACCCUGGUCUGACACUGACGCU